AUUGAACGCUGGCGGCAGGCCUAACACAUGCAAGUCGAGCGAGCGGCGGACGGGUGAGUAAUGUAUGGGGACUGCCCGAUAGAGGGGGAUCACUACUGGACACUGUGGCUUAUACCGCAUACUAUCGGAUAACCCAUAUGGGAUUAGCUAGUAGGUGGGGUAACGGCUCACCAAGGCGAUGAUCUCUUGCUGGUCUGAGAGGAUGAUCAGCCACACUGGGACUGAGACACGGCCCAGACUCCUACGGAGGCAGCAGUGGGUAAUAUUGCACAAUGGGCGCAAGCCUGAUGCAGCCAUGCCGCGUGUAUGAAGAAGGCCUUAGGGUUGUAAAGUACGUUCAGCGGGGAGGCGUUACCAGCAGAAGAAGCACCGGCUAACUCCGUGCCAGCAGCCGCGGUAAUAC
rnacentral:rRNA from 1 species